UCGGGGCAUGGAAAGCAAAGCAAUAGGAAGGAAUCCAUAAGGCUAUACUGUGAAAUGGUGAUGGAAGGCUUUACUCCGAAAGUCAGCACAUACAAUGCACUUAUUAGUGACUUUGCCAGGGGAGGAAAGAUGAUUCAAGCGAGAGAGUUGCUAAAUGAAAUGCAAAAGAGAGGUGUAUUGCCCAACUCUUCGACAUAUGACAUACUAAUCAG
rnacentral:misc_RNA from 1 species